rnacentral:rRNA from 1 species
GAUGAACGCUAGCGGCAGGCCUAAUACAUGCAAGUCGAACGGUGUCUUCGGACAUAGUGGCGCACGGGUGCGUAACACGUAUGCAACCUACCUUACAUUGGGGGAUAGCCUUUCGAAAGGGAGAUUAAUACCGCAUAAGACAGUAGCUGGGCAUCCAACAGCUGUUCAAGAUUUAUCGAUGUAAGCUGGGCAUGCGUCCAAUUAGCUAGUUGGUGAGGUAACGGCUCACCAAGGCAAUGAUUGGUAGGGGAACUGAGAGGUCAAUCCCCCACACUGGCACUGAGAUACGGGCCAGACUCCUACGGGAGGCAGCAGUAGGGAAUAUUGGGCAAUGGACGCAAGUCUGACCCAGCCAUGCCGCGUGCAGGAUGAAGGCGUUAUGCGUUGUAAACUGCUUUUAUACAGGAAGAAACGACUCUUGCGAGAGGCAUUGACGGUACUGUAUGAAUAAGCACCGGCUAACUCCGUGCCAGCAGCCGCAGUAACAC